AGUGAACGCUGGCGGUAGGCCUAACACAUGCAAGUCGAACGGCAGCACAGGAGAGCUUGCUCUCUGGGUGGCGAGUGGCGGACGGGUGAGGAAUACAUCGGAAUCUACUUUUUCGUGGGGGAUAACGUAGGGAAACUUACGCGGAUAACGCAUACGACCUACGGGUGAAAGCAUGGGACCUUCGGCCUUGCGCGAUUGAAUGAGCCGAUGUCGGAGUAGCGAGUUGGCGGGGUAAAGGCCCACCAAGGCGACGAGCCGUAGCUGGUCUGAGAGGAUGAUCAGCCACACUGGAACUGAGACACGGUCCAGACUCCUACGGGAGGCAGAAGUGGGGAAUAUUGGACAAUGGGCGCAAGCCUGAUCCAGCCAUACCGCGUGGUGAAGAAGGCCUUCGGGUUGUAAAGCCCUUUUGUUGGGAAAGAAAUCCAGCUGGCUAAUACCCGGUUGGGAUGACGGUACCCAAAGAAUAAGCACCGGCUAACUUCGUGCCAGCAGCCGCAGUAA
rnacentral:rRNA from 1 species